UACGUAGGGUGCAAGCGUGUCCGGAAUUAUUGGGCGUAAAGAGCUCGUAGGCGGUCUGUCGCGUCUGCUGUGAAAACUCAGGGCUUAACCCUGAGCUUGCAGUGGGUACGGGCAGACUAGAGUGCGGUAGGGGAGACUGGAAUUCCUGGUGUAGCGGUGAAAUGCGCAGAUAUCAGGAGGGAACACCGGUGGCGAAGGCGGGUCUCUGG
rnacentral:rRNA from 1 species